CCUGGUGGCUCAAACUGUAAAGUAUCUGCCUGCAAUGCAGGAGACCUAGGUUCGAGCCUGGGUCCAGGA
rfam:Ovis aries breed Texel chromosome 17, whole genome shotgun sequence.